CUUGAAAGACGUCUCAUACUCAAGUGGUCUCUCCUCUUCCCAUACACACCUUACGGAUUCUUCACAGGGUGUGAUGAUGGGAAGCCUAGACACGCUUAUCAGAAGUUUGUCCUCUUAUCGGGAUACGUCAGAAAUUAGAGAGACCCUGGCAAUCACAGCUUCCACCUCCUCAUUUUACAAAUGAGCAACUAGGCUCAGAGUACAGAAGUGGCUUUCCCAGGGUCACACAGCCAGCUUGUGACAGAGUCAGGAUUCAAGUACCAUCUCCUGACUUCUCCAUUGCACCAGACGUCGAUAGAACACAGAGAACCUAAAAGAAGAAAGAAAAAAAAAUAGAGCUUUUGGGAAUAUAUUGGGCUUCUGGUUUUCAAGGACAAUUUUAUGAUAAGUAGCAAUGAUGCCUCAAAAGCUCUGGUAGCUAGCUUGAAUGAACUUAUGUAAUAAACAUUUAUCACAGAACAUGUGUCAUCAAACACCUGCCAGUUCUGAGCGUUGGCACCAAAGCUGCUUUCAUUGUCAAAGAAAAGAGGGGGAAAGGAACUUGGCUGAACAAAGCUGGCAGACGUUUAUACUAGAAAAUUUAGAGAUGUCAGGAGCAAGGGAGCACCAGUGGUAGAAGAACCUGCCUCCCCUGGCUCCAUCAAAGGCCACAGGCCCAUGAGAAUCACCCGGCCUGCUCUGAGCAGCACACUCGGAGGCCACAGCCACGCACAGGAAAGUGAGAGGAAGUGGAAACGUGCGAGCAGAGGGCUCAAAGCGACGGGCUCACCACCGGAAAAAAAAAAUAAAAAUAAACACGCUCAGAAAUAGUGUAACUGAUAUGCAAAGAAGAUCAAAACAAGGGUUUUAAAAUAUCUUGGCUGCUUUAGAGGAGAUGGGGGUGGUAAUUAAAGCGAGGUUGCAAAUGCGUGUUAGGGGAGUGGGGCGGUUAGGUGGAUGGUUCACUGAAGCCUGCCAGGACAUGGGAGCCUGGGAGCCCAAGGGUAUUUCAGAUGAAAAUGUGGCACUUAUAUGUGGAAUGUAAAAGAAAGUUGAACUCAUAGAAGCAGAGAAUAAAAUGGUUAUUCUCAGAGGCUGCCAGGUGGUGGGACUGGGGAGAUGUUGGUCAAAGGACACAUUUUAAUAAAUUCAAGAGAUUCAUUGCCCAUCACGGUGACUAUAGUUAACAUCAAUACAUUUUAUAUUG
rnacentral:lncRNA from 1 species